AUUGAACGCUGGCGGCAUGCUUUACACAUGCAAGUCGAACGGUAACAGGCCUUCGGGCGCUGACGAGUGGCGAACGGGUGAGUAAUGCAUCGGAACGUGCCCAGUCGUGGAGGAUAACGCAGCGAAAGCUGUGCUAAUACCGCAUACGAUCUGUGGAUGAAAGCGGGGGACCUUCGGGCCUCGCGCGAUUGGAGCGGCCGAUGUCAGAUUAGGUAGUUGGUGGGGUAAAGGCUCACCAAGCCAACGAUCUGUAGCUGGUCUGAGAGGACGACCAGCCACACUGGGACUGUGACACGGCCCAGACUCCUACGGGAGGCAGCAGUGGGGAAUUUUGGACAAUGGGCGCAAGCCUGAUCCAGCAAUGCCGCGUGCAGGAAGAAGGCCUUCGGGUUGUAAACUGCUUUUGUACGGAACGAAACGGUCCUGGUUAAUACCUGGGGCUAAUGACGGUACCGUAAGAAUAAGCACCGGCUAACUACGUGCCAGCAGCCGCAGUAACAC
rnacentral:rRNA from 1 species